GCCAUUCCCACACUCUCUUUCCAAGGCAGUGGAUGUGAUGCUGGGUUGUCUGGGAGCAGCUGGGCCCUGGCUCUGUGCAGGGUGGGGAUGGAUCAAUACCUGCCCUGCUUGGCUCAGCUUCCCUAUCGAGAAGAUCAGGCAGGGAUCUUCAAGGUGCCUCCAGAUCUGCUCUGAGAUAGGGGCUGCCUGUUGUUUCAUGGUUACACGGCAGAGGGAUGCCAGAAUCCACAGCUAAUUACUGCAGGGCAGAGCUAAUUACUGCAGGGCAGAGAGGCAGCGGCUGCACAGGAGCUGGCGUGUGCCCAGGGGAUCAGGAAGGCCAAUGGCACCUGGCUUGGAUCAGGAGUGGUCAGCAGGCCCAGGGCAGUGACUGUCCCCUGUGCUGGCACUGCUGAGACUCCUCAGGGCCUGGGGUCAGUUUGGGACCCUAGCCCCAAGGAGGACAUUGAGGGGCAGGAGCGUGUCCAGAGAAGGGAAUGGAGCUGGGGAAGGAUCUGGAGCACCCAGAAGGGCUGGGAGGGGGGAGCCAGGGGGGCUCAGCCUGGAGAAAAGGAGGCUCAGGGGGGCCCUUGUGGCUCUGCACAACUCCCUGACAGGAGGGGACAGCCGGGGAGGUCGGGCUCUGCUCCCAGGGAACAGGGACAGGAGGAGAGGGCUAGGCCAGGGGAUGUUUAGAUUGGAUAUUGGAAGAAAUUCCUUCACAGGAAGGGCAGCCAGGCACUGGCACAGCUGCCAGGGCAGUGCUGGAGUCCCCGGCCCCGGAGAUGCUCAAAAGCAGCGUGGAUGUGACACUUGGGGACAGGGCCUGGUGGUGACUGUGUUGUUGCUGGGUUAAUGGUUGGACUCAACAGCUCCUGUUUCGGCCCUUCUGCCAAGUGCCUGGAGGGACCCUGGUACCACCCAAACCCUUGGGGCGCCUCCAACUCGUCGCGAGUCGCAAAAAGCCGCCUGGAGGUCGCACCUCCCGCACUGGCAGCGCCGGGUCGGGAGCAGCCGCCUUAUCCCAGAGCAGGAGCCCGUGCCCGGGGUCAGCUCGGGGCCCAGCCGUGCUCAGAGCCGCUCCUGCACGGGGGUUGCUCUGCUGCCCCCGCCCCAGCCCGGGGUCCCCCCGGACCCUCCGGGCUCCCCCACGCCCCGGGACCCCCCCAUGGCCGUGCCGGUGCUGCCCCCUGCGGAGAAACAAACAAACAAACAAACAAAAAUCAUGGAGAUUGAAACUAAACGAUCUUUGAGGUCCCUUCCACUCCAAAACAGUCCAGGAUUCUACCAAUUUCUUCUAAGAGCUGCCAGGGCCUGCAUGAACCUCAUUUGCCUCCUCCUUGAGAGUGGUUGGGACGCACAGGGGAACUGUUUUGGGGUUUUUUUUUUGGUAUCUCAACAGCUGUCCUGUUGGCUUGUAAAUUUUCAGUGAAGUUGAUGCCAUCCUCCA